CCUACGGGGGGCAGCAGUCGAGAAUCAUUCACAAUGGGGGAAACCCUGAUGGUGCGACGCCGCGUGGGGGAAUGAAGGUCUUCGGAUUGUAAACCCCUGUCAUGUGGGAGCAAAUUAAAAAGAUAGUACCACAAGAGGAAGAGACGGCUAACUCUGUGCCAGCAGCCGCGGUAGUACAGAGGUCUCAAGCGUUGUUCGGAAUCACUGGGCGUAAAGCGUGCGUAGGCUGUUUCGUAAGUCGUGUGUGAAAGGCGCGGGCUCAACCCGCGGACGGCACAUGAUACUGCGAGACUAGAGUAAGGGAGGGGGAACCGGAAUUCUCGGUGUAGCAGUGAAAUGCGUAGAUAUCGAGAGGAACACUCGUGGCGAAGGCGGGUUCCUGGACAUUAACUGACGCUGAGGCACGAAGGCCAGGGGAGCGAAAGGGAUUAGAUACCCCAGUAGUC
rnacentral:rRNA from 1 species